rnacentral:rRNA from 1 species
UGAAGCGGAAAAGCUCAAAUUUAAAAUCUGGCGGUCUUUGGCCGUCCGAGUUGUAGUCUGGAGAAGUGCUUUGCGCGCUGGACCGUGUACAAGUCUCUUGGAACAGAGCGUCAUAGAGGGUGAGAAUCCCGUCUUUGACACGGACUACCAGUGCUUUGUGAUGCGCUCUCAAAGAGUCGAGUUGUUUGGGAAUGCAGCUCAAAAUGGGUGGUGAAUUCCAUCUAAAGCUAAAUAUUGGCGAGAGACCGAUAGCGAACAAGUACCGUGAGGGAAAGAUGAAAAGCACUUUGGAAAGAGAGUUAAACAGUACGUGAAAUUGCUGAAAGGGAAACGCUUGAAGUCAGUCGCGUUGUCCAGAACUCAGCCUUGCUUCGGCUUGGUGCAUUUUCUGGGCGACGGGCCAGCAUCGAUUUUGACCGUCGGAAAAGGGUUGAAGGAAUGUGGCACCUUCGGGUGUGUUAUAGCCUUCAGCCGCAUACGACGGUUGGGAUCGAGGAACGCAGCGCGCCUUAUGGCUGGGGUUCGCCCACAUUCGCGCUUAGGAUGCUGGCAUAAUGGCUUUAAACGACCCGUCUUGAAACACGGACCAAGGAGUCUAACAUGCCUGCGAGUGUUUGGGUGGAAAACCCGAGCGCGUAAUGAAAGUGAAAGUUGAGACCUCUGUCGUGGAGGGCAUCGACGCCCGGACCUGACGUUCUCUGACGGAUCCGCGGUAGAGCAUGUAUGUUGGGACCCGAAAGAUGGUGAACUACCGCCUGAAUAGGGUGAAGCCAGAGGAAACUCUGGUGGAGGCUCGAGCGAUUCUGACGUCAAAUCGACGCAA